AAGAGCUGUGGAUUGAAAUUUGGGGGAGCUCAGUUAUCUCGGAGAAGAACCUCUUUAAACAUUUCCUUGUUGCCAUAAAUUGAGGUGAUGCAUUAAAAUUACACAGUUUUUUUAAAAUGAGGGGCCUGGAAUAUAGUUUAGUGACAAAGCACAUGUUUAAUAUUGUUUAAUCUGUGUCAGAACCUGGAUUUAAUCUCCAGCAUCAAAAGAUUGCAAAUAUAGAACUCUGUCCACCAUAGUUCAUAGUAUAGUAGAGGAUGAGCAUGAAAUUAAUGAAGAUGGAAAAGAAUACAUUUAGGUGAAUUAAAAAGUGUUAUGAAGAAGCUGAAAGAUAAACAAAAUCUUGAUAGUUUAUAUGAAUUUUUCAAUAGAACAAGUGGCUUUCCAGACCCAAAAAAUAAGGUAUAAAAAGGCUCAGAGUCAUGAAGUAGUCUAGAAAAAAGAGUAAUGAUAGGAUAAGAUGAUCAUGAUUAACAAGGGGUUUCCUAUCUCAGGACGUCAGCACAUCUUCUUAAGAUAAAAAGACAAAGAAUAAAUAGCCAAGGCUGUACAAACCACAUAGUCUCAAUUAUAGCCUUGGCCAUCUCUCUAGAGUUCCUGGACUCCAUUAAACAGCAGUUAAGCAGACCCUGAGAGGGGCCCAUUAACUACAUAAUGAAGGCAAAAUUGGGUCCAUACUCAAAAGCAUCCAGGCAGCCCCAGAGACAACAGACUUCAAGAAGGAAUUCAUCUCACGUGGAAAGCUUUAAAGAGAUUAGGACGUGAAUAGGAGAAGGGGGGAGAAAGAGACAAUCAGCUGCAACACAUUCAAAAAUAGAGGAAAAGAACAUUAGCUAAAUAGUCUCUAAGCACUCCACACUGUGCACAACAGGGCAGAAAGCUAGUCUGAAAAUAAAUAGAAACAGAUAUCAAGAGGUAGAAUGACACCACAGUACUGAAGCUUCCUCUAGUGAGCUGAGGAUUUGGUUAGAACCCGGUGUACAUGCAUGGCUAAGCAGGAAAACAAUUCAGGUGGGUACAGAAUCAACACAUUUGAAGAGCAGUUCUAAUGCAAAGAGCAAGAAGUGCAGUAAUUUAUUCUCACAGAUCCAAAGCCUACUCAAAGCACAGCAAAUGAGUAACUCUGGCUGAGUCACAGAGGGGUCCCAGGCAGAGUUUCUUUGUCUGUGUGCUUCUAUUCUUCAGAAUCAUCUUAAAACAAUGGAACAAAAAGUGGUGAGGACGACCUCUUGUUGAAAACAUCGAGUACAUUUGAAAUGCAGCACCAUCUUUACUUUUCACAUUCUCCCACCAGGUUCCAGAUGCUACUGUGAUGCCAAGCAGACUUCCCUGGGCAGACAAUCCCACCAAUGUGUCCUGGAGCCCUGCUUCCCCAGACUCUUGCCCCACCAGGCUGGAAGGAUGGAUCAACCUGUCAACACCCACGUUCAGUGGGAAGCAAUUACAGAAGUCAGAACCUUUUACCUUCUGCACCCCCAUAAUGUCCCUUGGUCCAUGUUCCCAGAGGGAUAAAGAAUAGGAAAUCAAUCAGGGGAGCGUAUAGGAUACGGAGUUCUGGUGGUAGGAAUUGUGUGGAGUUGUACCCCUCUUAUCCUAUGGUUUUUGUCAGUGUUUCCUUUUUAUAAAUAAAAAUUAUAUAUAAAAAAAGAAAAAAAUAGAAAACGAAACAUUUCUGAAACUGAGAUGUCACUUAGAAACUAUGGUUAUUUAAACUUAUCCAUUUUUUUCUCAGAGACUGAAAUUAUUGUAUAUGGUUAAAUUCAAUUAUAUUUUUAAAAAUUUAUUUAUUGGGGGAUUAAUGAUUUAUAGUUGACAGUAAAAUACAAUAGUUUGCACAUGCAUAAUAUUUCCACAUAACAAUACAACCCCCACUAGGUCCUCUCUGCCAUCAUGUUCCAGGACCUAAACCCUAUCCCCCCACCCCAGUCUUUUACUUUGGUGCAAUACACCAAUUAUUACCUUUUUUUUUUUUAAUUACAUGUUUAUUUGCAGACCUAGAGUCUUGCCCACACACACAAUUCCACCACCCCUGACUGAUUUUGCAUUUAGACAGAAAGAUAGAGUCCAUGGCAUUGAAACUUUUCCUCAGCCAACAGCAUUCCCAUGUGACACCAGGCCUGUCUGAAUAGCAAGACCCACUCCCUACUAGGUAAACUAUGCUUCUGGUCCCAGGUGGUAUGUUUUUUGAGAAGGAUGCUUGACUUAGAGUAAGAAGACAUGUAUCUGGGUUAUACUACUUAAAUUCCUUGACUUUCUUUUUUUUUUUUCCUUUUUUGUUAUAUUUAUUUUAUUUAUUUUUUCCCUUUUGUUGCCCUUGUUGUUUUAUUGUUGUAGUUGUUAUUGUUGUUGUUGUUGUUGGAUAGGACAGAGAGAAAUGGAGAGAGGGAGGGGAAGACAGAGAGGAGGAGAGAAAGAUAGACACCUGCAGACCUGCUUCACCGCCUGUGAAGCGACUCCCCUGCAGGUGGGGAGCCAGGGUUCGAACCGGGAUCCUUAUGCCGGUCCUUGUGCUUUGCGCCACCUGUGCUUAGCCCGCUGUACUACAGCCCGACUCCCUCCUUGACUUUCUUGAGUCUCAAUUUCUCUAUUCAUAAAAUCAUAAAUGGGGCAAUAACCAAUCACCUCUGAGUACUUCCUGGGAGGAUUAAUAGGCUGUGAAAGAGUAAACUGUCAAGAAUUUAGUAUAUUGUAUCUUCUAAAAUUAAUGUGUUUUUUUUUAAUAUGAAGGACUUAGCCUGGUGUUCAGAUAAACUUGCCUUAAAUGGUUAUUUGCUUACUUCAGUAGCACUGUCAUCUCAAAAAUAUUGUCACAACUCCUUGUCAGGGUUCCUCUCUGUGCCAAAAAACAUUAGUCUCCUUUUUUGGUCAAAAUUUACUAUAUCCCUUUUAGUGAGGUCUAGGGAAUGGGAACCUUAUUUCUAUCUUGCUGUUGAAAUUCCAGCGAGAGAGGAGCUAAGUGAUUUACUCCUGGAUAUU